CGGACGGGUGAGUAAUGUCUGGGAAACUGCCCGAUGGAGGGGGAUAACUACUGGAAACGGUAGCUAAUACCGCAUAACGUCGCAAGACCAAAGAGGGGGACCUUCGGGCCUCUUGCCAUCGGAUGUGCCAGAUGGGAUUAGCUAGUAGGUGGGGUAACGGCUCACCUAGGCGACGAUCCCUAGCUGGUCUGAGAGGAUGACCAGCCACACUGGAACUGAGACACGGUCCAG
rnacentral:rRNA from 1 species